UACGGGGGGGGCAAGCGUUGUUCGGAAUUACUGGGCGUAAAGGGCUCGUAGGCGGCCAACUAAGUCGGAUGUGAAAUCCCCAGGCUUAACCUGGGAACUGCAUCCGAUAUGGGAUGGCUUGAAUCCGGGAGAGGGAUGCAGAAUUCCAGGUGUAGCGGUGAAAUGCGUAGAUAUCUGGAGGAAUACCGGUGGCGAAGGCGGUAUCCUGGACCGGCAUUGACGCUGAGGAGCGAAAGCGAGGGGAGCAAACGGG
rnacentral:rRNA from 1 species